rnacentral:rRNA from 1 species
GACGAACGCUGGCGGCGUGCUUAACACAUGCAAGUCGAGCGGUAAGGCCCUUUCGGGGGUACACGAGCGGCGAACGGGUGAGUAACACGUGGGUGACCUGCCCUUACGCUCUGGGAGUAAAGCCUGGGAAACUGGGUCUAAUACCGGAUAUGACUCCAUGACGCAUGUUGUGGGGUGGAAAGCCUUGUGCGGCUAGGGAUGGGCCCGCGGCCUAUCAGCUUGUUGGUGGGGUGAUGGCCACCAAGGCGACGACGGUAGCCGGCCUGAGAGGGCGACCGGCCACACUGGGACUGA